GUUUGUAAGGGACCCAAGGGGAAGAAGAAGCAGGAAAAUUAACAGCAAAGAAGCAUUUGAUGAUGUCAUAAUGAAGCCUAGAGCUUUGCGUGCUCUCUGGAACUUUUAGAAUUGUAAGGUGGAAUAUUAACAUUCUGGUUUUAAAAACCGAACAAAUAUCACAACAGAAUCUAUCUUCACCCCUCCCUCUUCCAUUAGGAACGAUGAUGUUGUGUGAAAACAGUGAGUCCUUUGGUUUCCAAUUAAAAUAGUCACCCAAGUGUUUUGCCUCAAGCCAACCAGACAACCAUCAUGCCUCAGGACACAAAGAAGCAUUUUCUGUGCCCACCUCAAUUGGACAUGCAACAUAUUAAAAUAUUUUGGUAUUUACUCAAGACAUGAAAGCUAAUGAAACUCAUGCCUUCUAUUGCUUUAUUUGAGACAUUUUUAAGAGGAGCUGGCUUUUUUUUCCUCUGCUGUGAACACAGUGAAUGCAUCAAUACAUGGACGCCAUUGUUACCACUGAUUUGAUCUGUGCUAAGGGACUGGCUUUCUACCUACAACUGCUUUUGCACAUUAUUGGUUUUGUCCUGAAAUAAAUAGGCAGAUCUGGCUUGUGACCAA